rnacentral:rRNA from 1 species
UAAAGAAUUUCGGUCAUCGAUGGGGAUGCGUUCCAUUAGCUUGUUGGCGGGGUAACGGCCCACCAAGGCAUCGAUGGAUAGGGGUUCUGAGAGGAAGGUCCCCCACAUUGGAACUGAGACACGGUCCAAACUCCUACGGGAGGCAGCAGCGAGGAAUAUUGGUCAAUGGGCGCUAGCCUGAACCAGCCAAGUAGCGUGAAGGAUGACUGCCCUAUGGGUUGUAAACUUCUUUUAUAUGGGAAUAAAGUGCAGUAUGUAUACUGCUUUGCAUGUACCUUAUGAAUAAGGAUCGGCUAACUCCGUGCCAGCAGCCGCGGUAAUACGGAGGAUCCGAGCGUUAUCCGGAUUUAUUGGGUUUAAAGGGAGCGUAGGCGGGUUGUUAAGUCAGUUGUGAAAGUUUGCGGCUCAACCGUAAAAUUGCAGUUGAUACUGGCAUCCUUGAGUACAGUAGAGGUAGGCGGAAUUCGUGGUGUAGCGGUGAAAUGCUUAGAUAUCACGAAGAACUCCGAUUGCGAAGGCAGCCUGCUGGACUGUAACUGACGCUGAUGCUCGAAAGUGUGGGUAUCAAACAGGAUUAGAUACCCUGGUAGUCCACACAGUAAACGAUGAAUACUCGCUGUUUGCGAUAUACAGUAA